rnacentral:lncRNA from 1 species
AGAAGAAAGAAAGAAAGAAAUGAGAAGAAAUAAAGAAAGAAAAGAGAAGAAAAAGAAAGAAAGAAAAUGUAUUUUUAUUUUUAUUUUUAAAUAGGAUGGAUUAUGAUGAGAAUAAAUGAUUUUGUUAGUAUUAUAUAGUUUGUUUAUUGUUAUUUUUAUGUUUUUUUUAAUUUGUUUUAAAGUUAUUUUUUUUAGUUACUAUUAUAAAUUAUUUGUUCAGUUUAAUAUUUAUUGUGAUUUGUUAGGUUAUAAAUGUAAAUAUAUUAAUUU